rnacentral:rRNA from 1 species
AACAGGAUUAGAUACCCUGGUAGUCCACGCCCUAAACGAUGUCUACUAGUUGUCGGGUUUUAAUUAACUUGGUAACGCAGCUAACGCGUGAAGUAGACCGCCUGGGGAGUACGGUCGCAAGAUUAAAACUCAAAGGAAUUGACGGGGACCCGCACAAGCGGUGGAUGAUGUGGAUUAAUUCGAUGCAACGCGAAAAACCUUACCUACCCUUGACAUGUACGGAAGACCGAAGAGAUUUGGUUGUGCUCGAAAGAGAGCCGUAACACAGGUGCUGCAUGGCUGUCGUCAGCUCGUGUCGUGAGAUGUUGGGUUAAGUCCCGCAACGAGCGCAACCCUUGUCAUUAGUUGCUACAUUUAGUUGAGCACUCUAAUGAGACUGCCGGUGACAAACCGGAGGAAGGUGGGGAUGACGUCAAGUCCUCAUGGCCCUUAUGGGUAAGGCUUCACACGUCAUACAAUGGUACAUACAGAGGGCCGCCAACCCGCGAGGGGGAGCUAAUCCCAGAAAGUGUAUCGUAGUCCGGAUCGUAGUCUGCAACUCGACUACGUGAAGUUGGAAUCGCUAGUAAUCGCGGAUCAGCAUGUCGCGGUGAAUACGUUCCCGGGUCUUGUACACACCGCCCGUCACACCAUGGGAGCGGGUUUUACCAGAAGUAGGUAGCUUAACCGUAAGGAGGGCGCUUACCACGGUAAGAUUCGUGACUGGGGGUGAAGUCGUAACAAGGUAACC